rnacentral:rRNA from 1 species
AUUGAACGCUGGCGGCAGGCCUAACACAUGCAAGUCGAGCGGAUGAGAGGAGCUUGCUUCUCGAUUCAGCGGCGGACGGGUGAGUAAUGCCUAGGAAUCUGCCUGAUAGUGGGGGACGACGUUUCGAAAGGAACGCUAAUACCGCAUACGUCCUACGGGAGAAAGCAGGGGACCUUCGGGCCUUGCGCUAUCAGAUGAGCCUAGGUCGGAUUAGCUAGUUGGUGAGGUAAUGGCUCACCAAGGCGACGAUCCGUAACUGGUCUGAGAGGAUGAUCAGUCACACCGGAACUGAGACACGGUCCAGACUCCUACGGGAGGCAGCAGUGGGGAAUAUUGGACAAUGGGCGAAAGCCUGAUCCAGCCAUGCCGCGUGUGUGAAGAAGGUCUUCGGAUUGUAAAGCACUUUAAGUUGGGAGGAAGGGUUGUAGAUUAAUACUCUGCAAUUUUGACGUUACCGACAGAAUAAGCACCGGCUAACUCUGUGCCAGCAGCCGCAGUAAAAC